rnacentral:rRNA from 1 species
ACCAUGCAAGUCGAACGGGGUAUCAGGGUAGUAAUACCCGAAGUACCUAGUGGCGAACGGGUGCGUAACACGUGAGCAACCUACCCCAGAGCUUGGAAUAACACCGGGAAACCGGUGCUAAUACCGAAUACUCUCAUUCGGCCGCAUGACUGAAUGAGGAAAGAUUUAUCACUCUGGGACGGGCUCGCGGCCUAUCAGCUUGUUGGUGAGGUAACGGCUCACCAAGGCUACGACGGGUAGCUGGUCUGAGAGGACGGUCAGCCACACUGGGACUGAGACACGGCCCAGACUCCUACGGGAGGCAGCAGUGGGGAAUAUUGCGCAAUGGGCGAAAGCCUGACGCAGCAACGCCGCGUGGAGGAUGAAGGCUUUCGGGUUGUAAACUCCUUUCAGCAGGGACGAAACUGACGGUACCUGCAGAAGAAGCCCCGGCUAACUACGUGCCAGCAGCCGCGGUGAGACGUAGGGGGCAAGCGUUGUCCGGAUUUAUUGGGCGUAAAGAGCUCGUAGGCGGCUUGGCAAGUCGGAUGUGAAAUCUCCAGGCUUAACCUGGAGUCGCCAUCCGAUACUGCUAUGGCUAGAGUCCGGUAGAGGGUCGUGGAAUUCCUGGUGUAGCGGUGAAAUGCGCAGAUAUCAGGAGGAACACCAACGGCGAAGGCAGCGAUCUGGGCCGGUACUGACGCUGAGGAGCGAAAGCGUGGGGAGCGAACAGGAUUAGAUACCCUGGUAGUCCACGCCCUAAACGUUGGGCACUAGGUGUGGGGCCUAUUUCGACGGGUUCCGUGCCGUAGCUAACGCAUUAAGUGCCCCGCCUGGGGAGUACGGUCGCAAGG